rnacentral:rRNA from 1 species
GGUUAAGUGAAUAAGGGCGCACGGUGGAUGCCUUGGCACUAGGAGCCGAUGAAGGACGGGACUAACACCGAUAUGCUUUGGGGAGCUGUAAGUAAGCUAUGAUCCAGAGAUUUCCGAAUGGGGGAACCCAAUAUCUUUUAUAGGAUAUUACUUUUCAGUGAAUACAUAGCUGAUUAGAGGUAGACGCAGAGAACUGAAACAUCUUAGUACCUGCAGGAAGAGAAAGAAAAUUCGAUUCCCUGAGUAGCGGCGAGCGAAACGGGAAGAGCCCAAACCAACAAGCUUGCUUGUUGGGGUUGUAGGACUCCAAUAUGGUAGUCUGUUAGUAUAGUUGAAGGAUUUGGAAAAUUCCGCUAAAGAGGGUGAAAGCCCCGUAGACGAAAUGCUGACAACACCUAGGAGGAUCCUGAGUACGGCGGAACACGAGAAAUUCCGUCGGAAUCCGCGGGGACCAUCCCGCAAGGCUAAAUACUCCCUAGUGACCGAUAGUGAACCAGUA